rnacentral:snRNA from 1 species
GGGUGUGAGAGUGAUCUAGCUGUGAUAUCUGUCACCCAUUAAUUUCCAGGGUUGAUUCGGCUAAUGAGGAUUGCUAGGCAGCUGUUCCCUUCCUCUCACAUUGCCAUUGCAGCUCCCAAAGCUGCAUGUCUGGUGUGUGUAGAAGACAGUCUUUCACAGAUAAAUGAGGACUGGUCUUCUGUUGAGGAUACACAGUAGCUGAGCUCCCCUGCUAGAACUUCCAAUCAAGCUCUCAAGAAUAUUUUAAUUUGCCUGGUGUUUAAGAUACUGGAUGGUUGAGUUUCUACUACUAAAAACUUGGCAAACCAUGUUUCUUU